UAGAGUUUGAUCCUGGCUCAGGAUGAACGCUAGCUACAGGCUUAACACAUGCAAGUCGAGGGGAAACGAUAGAGAAAGCUUGCUUUUUCUAGGCGUCGACCGGCGCACGGGUGAGUAACGCGUAUCCAACCUGCCCACCACUUGGGGAUAACCUUGCGAAAGUAAGACUAAUACCCAAUGACGUCUCUAGAAGACAUCUGAAGGAGAUUAAAGAUUUAUCGGUGAUGGAUGGGGAUGCGUCUGAUUAGCUUGUUGGCGGGGUAACGGCCCACCAAGGCGACGAUCAGUAGGGGUUCUGAGAGGAAGGUCCCCCACAUUGGAACUGAGACACGGUCCAAACUCCUACGGGAGGCAGCAGUGAGGAAUAUUGGUCAAUGGGCGAGAGCCUGAACCAGCCAAGUAGCGUGCAGGAAGACGGCCCUAUGGGUUGUAAACUGCUUUUAUAAGGGAAUAAAGUGGGAGUCGUGACUCCUUUUGCAUGUACCUUAUGAAUAAGGACCGGCUAAUUCCGUGCCAGCAGCCGCGGUAAUACGGAAGGUCCGGGCGUUAUCCGGAUUUAUUGGGUUUAAAGGGAGCGUAGGCCGGAGAUUAAGCGUGUUGUGAAAUGUAGACGCUCAACGUCUGCACUGCAGCGCGAACUGGUUUCCUUGAGUACGCACAAAGUGGGCGGAAUUCGUGGUGUAGCGGUGAAAUGCUUAGAUAUCACGAAGAACUCCGAUUGCGAAGGCAGCUCACUGGAGCGCAACUGACGCUGAAGCUCGAAAGUGCGGGUAUCGAACAGGAUUAGAUACCCUGGUAGUCCGCACGGUAAACGAUGGAUGCCCGCUGUUGGUCUGAAUAGGUCAGCGGCCAAGCGAAAGCAUUAAGCAUCCCACCUGGGGAGUACGCCGGCAACGGUGAAACUCAAAGGAAUUGACGG
rnacentral:rRNA from 1 species